UACAGAGGGGGCAAGCGUUGUUCGGAAUCACUGGGCGUAAAGCGCACGUAGGCGGAUUGUUAAGUCAGGGGUGAAAUCCUGGAGCUCAACUCCAGAACUGCCUUUGAUACUGGCGAUCUUGAGUCCGGGAGAGGUGAGUGGAACUGCGAGUGAGAGGUGAAAUUCGUAGAUAUUCGCAAGAACACCAGUGGCGAAGGCGGCUCACUGGUCCGGUACUGACGCUGAGGUGCGAAAGCGUGGGGAGCAAACAGG
rnacentral:rRNA from 1 species